CAACAGGGAUUGCCUCAGUAACUGCGAGUGAAGCGGCAAGAGCUCAAAUUUGAAAUCUGGCGUCUUUCGGCGUCCGAGUUGUAAUUUGGAGAGACAUCUUCGGAGAUGGAGCCGUCCUAAGUUCCUUGGAACAGGACGUCACAGAGGGUGAGAAUCCCGUGCUCGGGCGGCUACCCGUUUCCAUGUGAAGUGUCUUCGACGAGUCGAGUUGUUUGGGAAUGCAGCUCAAAAUGGGUGGUAAAUUUCAUCUAAAGCUAAAUAUUGGCGAGAGACCGAUAGCGCACAAGUAGAGUGAUCGAAAGAUGAAAAGCACUUUGAAAAGAGAGUUAAAAAGUACGUGAAAUUGUUGAAAGGGAAGCGCUCGAGACCAGACUCGACUUUCACCGAUCAGCCGUGCUUCUGUGCGGUGCACUCGGGGUUUGUCGGGCCAGCAUCGGUUCCGGCGGUGGGAUAAAAGGCGCUGGAAUGUGGCUCCCCUCGGGGAGUGUUAUAGCCAACGUCACAAUGCCACCAGCUGGGACCGAGGAACGCGCUUCGGCGAGGAUGCUGGCGUAAUGGUCUUUAGCGACCCGUCUUGAAACACGGACCAAGGAGUCUAACAUCUAUGCGAGUGUUCGGGUGUAAAACCCCUGCGCGAAAUGAAAGUGAACGGAGGUGGGAACCCGCAAGGGUGCACCAUCGACCGAUCCUGAUGUCUUCGGAAGGAUUUGAGUAGGAGCAUAGCUGUUGGGACCCGAAAGAUGGUGAACUAUGCCUGAAUAGGGUGAAGCCAGAGGAAACUCUGGUGGAGGCUCGCAGCGGUUCUGACGUGCAAAUCGAUCGUCAAAUUUGGGUAUAGGGGCGAAAGACUAAUCGAACCAUCUAGUAGCUGGUUCCUGCCGAAGU
rnacentral:rRNA from 1 species